rnacentral:rRNA from 1 species
AACGAACGCUGGCGGCAUGCCUAACACAUGCAAGUCGAACGAGACCUUCGGGUCUAGUGGCGCACGGGUGCGUAACGCGUGGGAACCUGCCCUUAGGUUCGGAAUAACUCCCCGACAGGGGUGCUAAUACCGGAUAAUGUCUUCGGACCAAAGAUUUAUCGCCUUUGGAUGGGCCCGCGUUGGAUUAGCUAGUUGGUAGGGUAAAAGCCUACCAAGGCGACGAUCCAUAGCUGGUCUGAGAGGAUGAUCAGCCACACUGGGACUGAGACACGGCCCAGACUCCUACGGGAGGCAGCAGUGGGGAAUAUUGAACAAUGGGCGAAAGCCUGAUCCAGCAAUGCCGCGUGAAUAAUGAAGGCCGUAGGGUUGUAAAGCUCUUUUACCCGGGAUGAUAAUGACAGUACCGGAAGAAUAAGCUCCGGCUAACUCCGUG